UACGGAGGGUGCGAACGUUAAUCGGAAUCACUGGGCGUAAAGCGCGCGUAGGCGGUCUGUUAAGUGGGAUGUGAAAUCCCCGGGCUUAACCUGGGAAUUGCAUUUCAAACUGGCCGACUAGAGUACGGUAGAGGGAGGUAGAAUUUCCUGUGUAGCGGUGAAAUGCGUAGAUAUAGGAAGGAAUACCAGUGGCGAAGGCGGCCUCCUCGAUCGAUACUGACGCUGAGGCGCGAAAGCGUGGGGAGCAAACGGG
rnacentral:rRNA from 1 species